AUUGAACGCUGGCGGCAGGCCUAACACAUGCAAGUCGAACGAGUGGCGGACGGGUGAGUAAUGUCUGGGAAAGUGCCUGAUGGAGGGGGAUAACUAAUGGAAACGGUAGCUAAUACCGCAUACCAUCAGAGGUGCCCAGAUGGGAUUAGCUAGUUGGUGGGGUAACGGCUCACCAAGGCGACGAUGCCUAGCUGGUCUGAGAGGAUGACAAGCCACACUGGAACUGAGACACGGUCCAGACCCCUACGGGAGGCAGCAGUGGGGAAUAUUGCACAAGGGGCGCAAUCCUGAUGCAGCCAUGCCGCGUGUAUGAAGAAGGCCUUCGGGUUGUAAAGUACUUUCGGCAGCGCGGCGUUACCCGCAGAAGAAGCACCGGCUACCUCCGUGCCAGCAGCCGCGGUAAUUC
rnacentral:rRNA from 1 species